rnacentral:tRNA from 1 species
UCCCAAUUGGUGUAGUGGUCAACAUUCAAGAUUCUCACUCUUGAGCCCAGGGUUCGAUUCCCUGAUUGGGAG